AUUGAACGCUGGCGGCAGGCCUAACACAUGCAAGUCGAGCGGAUGAAGGGAGCUUUCUCCUGGAUUCAGCGGCGGACGGGUGAGUAAUGCCUAGGAAUCUGCCUGGUAUUUGGGGAUAACGUCCGGAAACGGGCGCUAAUACCGCAUACGUCCUGAGGUAGAAAGUGGGGGAUCUUCGGACCUCACGCUAUCAGAUGAGCCUAGGUCGGAUUAGCUAGUUGGUGGGGUAAAGGCCUACCAAGGCGACGAUCCGUAACUGGUCUGAGAGGAUGAUCAGUCACACUGGAACUGAGACACGGUCCAGACUCCUACGGGAGGCAGCAGUGGGGAAUCUUGGACAAUGGGCGAAAGCCUGAUCCAGCCAUGCCGCGUGUGUGAAGAAGGUCUUCGGAUUGUAAAGCUCUUUAAGUUGGGAGGAAGGGCAGUAAGUUAAUCCCUUGCUGUUUUGACGUUACCAACAGAAUAAGCCCCGGCUAACUUCGUG
rnacentral:rRNA from 1 species